rnacentral:rRNA from 1 species
UACGGGGGGGGCAAGCGUUGUUCGGAAUUACUGGGCGUAAAGGGCCAGUAGGCGGCCAACUAAGUCGGAUGUGAAAUCCCCAGGCUUAACCUGGGAACUGCAUCCGAUACUGGAUGGCUUGAAUUCGGGAGAGGGAUGUGGAAUUCCAGGUGUAGCGGUGAAAUGCGUAGAUAUCUGGAGGAACACCGGUGGCGAAGGCGGCAUCCUGGACCGAGAUUGACGCUGAUGCGCGAAAGCCAGGGGAGCAAACGGG